rnacentral:rRNA from 1 species
UACGAAGGGGGCUAGCGUUGCUCGGAAUCACUGGGCGUAAAGCGCACGUAGGCGGCUUGUUAAGUCAGGGGUGAAAUCCUGGAGCUCAACUCCAGAACUGCCUUUGAUACUGGCGAGCUUGAGUUCGGGAGAGGUGAGUGGAACUGCGAGUGUAGAGGUGAAAUUCGUAGAUAUUCGCAAGAACACCAGUGGCGAAGGCGGCUCACUGGCCCGAUACUGACGCUGAUGCGCGAAAGCCAGGGGAGCGAACGGG